rnacentral:rRNA from 1 species
GGGGAAUAUUGGGCAAUGGACGCAAGUCUGACCCAGCAACGCCGCGUGAAGGAAGAAGGCUUUCGGGUUGUAAACUUCUUUUAAGGGGGAAGAGUAGAAGACGGUACCCCUUGAAUAAGCCACGGCUAACUACGUGCCAGCAGCCGCGGUAAUACGUAGGUGGCAAGCGUUGUCCGGAUUUACUGGGUGUAAAGGGCGUGUAGCCGGGAAGGUAAGUCAGAUGUGAAAUCUGGGGGCUCAACCUCCAAACUGCAUUUGAAACUACUUUUCUUGAGUAUCGGAGAGGUAAUCGGAAUUCCUUGUGUAGCGGUGAAAUGCGUAGAUAUAAGGAAGAACACCAGUGGCGAAGGCGGAUUACUGGACGACAACUGACGGUGAGGCGCGAAAGCGUGGGGAGCAAACA